rnacentral:lncRNA from 1 species
GAGAGAAGCCAACACCAGAAGACAAGGACCUGUCCUCCAUGCUGGGCUGUAAACAGAAACAAAGAGAGCCACCAUAGCCAAGGAGAAGGAUUCCUUCCCAGUUCGCUUGGGCUGAGGAAACCCUGGGUUCCUGGGUAAAACUGACUAAAGAGAAGCUGCUUCACCUAUGACCAGGAAUGGAAUCCCAUCAGCCUCCAUGGGUGGGAGCCCAGGCAGCUAAAUUUCAUUUACGAAAAUAAAGAAACGUGUCCUUUCUUUCACAGACUGUCUAAGAGAACUAUCCUUAGAGUCCCUGAAUCACCAGAGUCUUUCCUCGUGCCAGGAUGGAAGAUUUAAACUCUAGAUGCACAAGUGAUAAAUGGUUAGAGAAACACCUUCGGGCUUCAGCAUAGUAAAAGCUAAAAAGAUUCCUUCGCAAUCAAUAAACUCAGCUAUCUGGUCAAUUCAACUUAGUUAUUAAGAAGGGAAACUCAAUGAGCCGACUGUGUUCCAAUACAGUCACGUCACAGGAGAUAUUUCACUCUGAAAGAAGUGAUUGCACACUGCCUUUGAGAGGAAAUUUGGUGGGGGAAAGAAAUGGUGGUGUUUGUUAAUAAAUGUUGCUUUUCAAACCAGC